AAUCAAGCGCGAAAAGGGCGUUUGGUGGAUGCCUUGGCAGUAAGAGGCGAUGAAAGACGUGAUACUCUGCGAUAAGCCAUGAGGAGCUGAGAAUAAGCUUUGAUCCAUGGAUUUCUGAAUGGGGCAACCCACCUGACAGUUUGUUAUUGUUACCUUCGGGUGAUCAAUAACGGGCUGAAACAGGUACUUAAGGACUGAAUACAUAGGUCUUUAAGAGCAAACCCGGAGAACUGAAACAUCUAAGUACCCGGAGGAAAGGACAGCAAUAGCGACUCCCCUAGUAGCGGCGAGCGAACGGGGACCAGCCGAGCCUGAUAAGUGACCAGAAUGCGUUGGGAAGCGCAGCCAUAGCGGGUGACAGCCCCGUAUGGGAAGCUUUGAAGGACGUAUCAAGUAGGGCGGGACACGUGAAAUCCUGUCUGAAGAUCGGAGGACCACCUUCGAAGGCUAAGUACUCCUUACUGACCGAUAGCGAACCAGUACCGUGAGGGAAAGGUGAAAAGCACCCCGACGAGGGGAGUGAAACAGUACCUGAAACCGAACGCCUACAAUCAGUCGGAGCUGCGGCCUUGUGCCGUUGUGACGGCGUACCUUUUGUAUAAUGGGUCAUCGACUUGGUCUAUCCAGCAAGCUUAAGCCGUUAGGUGUAGGCGCAGCGAAAGCGAGUCUUAAUAGGGCGUCGAGUUGGAUGGAUCAGACCCGAAACCGAGUGAUCUAGGCAUGACCAGGAUGAAGGUACGGUAACACGUACUGGAGGUCCGAACCCACACCUGUUGAAAAAGGUCGGGAUGAGUUGUGCCUAGGGGUGAAAGGCCAAUCAAACUCGGAGAUAGCUGGUUCUCUGCGAAAUCUAUUUAGGUAGAGCGUCAUCCGAAUACCCUCGGGGGUAGAGCACUGGAUGGGUAAUGGGGCCCCACAGGCUUACUGAUCCUAACCAAACUCCGAAUACCGAGGAGUACUAGAUGGCAGACAGACUGCGGAUGCUAACGUCCGUAGUCGAGAGGGAAACAACCCUGACCUACAGCUAAGGCCCCCAAUUCAUGGCUAAGUGGGAAAGCAGGUGGGACGACCAAAACAACCAGGAGGUUGGCUUAGAAGCAGCCAUCCUUUAAAGAUAGCGUAACAGCUCACUGGUCUAAACAAGUUGUCCUGCGGCGAAGAUGUAACGGGGCUCAAGCCAUGAGCCGAAGCUUAGGAUGCCGUAAGGCAUGGUAGCAGAGCGUAGUGUGACAUAGUUCCAUGUCUCUUUAGCGACUUCGGUUGUUACGGAGACACGGAGCUUUCGAUGAAGCGGGCGCGUGAGCGAUCCCGUGGAGAGAUCACUAGUGAGAAUGAUGACAUGAGUAGCGACAAAGAGUGUGAGAGACACUCUCGCCGAAAGUCCAAGGGUUCCUGCUUAAAGCUAAUCUGAGCAGGGUAAGCCGACCCCUAAGGCGAGGCCGAAAGGCGUAGUCGAUGGGAACCAGGUUAAUAUUCCUGGGCCAGAUGGAAGUGACGGAUUGCAGAGGUUGUUCAUCCUUAUCGGAUUGGAUGGGCCGCUGAGCAGUUCCUGGAAAUAGCUCCAUCAUGAGAUCGUACCCUAAACCGACACAGGUGGACUGGUAGAGAAUACCAAGGCGCUUGAGAGAACGAUGUUGAAGGAACUCGGCAAAAUACCUCCGUAAGUUCGCGAGAAGGAGGCCCGGUUCCUAGGCAACUAGGAGCUGGGGGCACAAACCAGGGGGUGGCGACUGUUUACUAAAAACACAGGGCUCUGCGAAGUCGCAAGACGACGUAUAGGGUCUGACGCCUGCCCGGUGCCUGAAGGUUAAAAGGAGAGGUGAGAGCCUUGAAUUGAAGCCCAGGUAAACGGCGGCCGUAACUAUAACGGUCCUAAGGUAGCGAAAUUCCUUGUCGGGUAAGUUCCGACCUGCACGAAUGGCGUAACGACUUCCCCGCUGUCUCCAACAUCGACUCAGCGAAAUUGAAUUGCCUGUCAAGAUGCAGGCUUCCCGCGGUUAGACGGAAAGACCCCGUGCACCUUUACUACAGCUUCGCACUGGCAUCAGGAUUGUGAUGUGCAGGAUAGGUGGUAGGCUUUGAACCCGUGACGCUAGUCGCGGUGGAGCCUCCCUUGAGAUACCACCCUUCGCACUCUUGAUGUCUAACCGCGGCCCGUUAUCCGGGUCCGGGACCCUGCGUGGCGGGUAGUUUGACUGGGGCGGUCGCCUCCUAAAGCGUAACGGAGGCGCGCGAAGGUUGGCUCAGAGCGGUCGGAAAUCGCUCGUUGAGUGCAAUGGCAGAAGCCAGCCUGACUGCGAGACUGACAAGUCGAGCAGAGUCGAAAGACGGCCAUAGUGAUCCGGUGGUCCCGAGUGGAAGGGCCAUCGCUCAACGGAUAAAAGGUACGCCGGGGAUAACAGGCUGAUACUGCCCAAGAGUCCAUAUCGACGGCAGUGUUUGGCACCUCGAUGUCGGCUCAUCUCAUCCUGGGGCUGGAGCAGGUCCCAAGGGUACGGCUGUUCGCCGUUUAAAGAGGUACGUGAGCUGGGUUUAGAACGUCGUGAGACAGUUCGGUCCCUAUCUGCCGUGGGUGUAGGAUACUUGAGAGGAGUUGCCCCUAGUACGAGAGGACCGGGGUGAACGAACCACUGGUGGACCUGUUGUGGCGCCAGCCGCAGUGCAGGGUAGCUAUGUUCGGACAGGAUAACCGCUGAAGGCAUCUAAGCGGGAAGCCCCCCUCAAAACAAGGUAUCCCUGAGGGCCGUGGUAGACCACCACGUCGAUAGGCCGGAGAUGUAAGCGCAGCAAUGCGUUCAGUUGACCGGUACUAAUGGCCCGAUAGGCUUGAUUUG
rfam:Roseovarius sp. A-2 DNA, contig: RA2_contig0053.